AGUCGAGCGGACGGAUGGGAGCUUGCUCCCUGAAGUCAGCGGCGGACGGGUGAGUAACACGUGGGCAACCUGCCUGUAAGACUGGGAUAACUUCGGGAAACCGGAGCUAAUACCGGAUAAUGCAUAACCUCUCAUGAGGUUAUGCUGAAAGAUGGUUUCGGCUAUCACUUACAGAUGGGCCCGCGGCGCAUUAGCUAGUUGGUGAGGUAACGGCUCACCAAGGCAACGAUGCGUAGCCGACCUGAGAGGGUGAUCGGCCACACUGGGACUGAGACACGGCCCAGACUCCUACGGGAGGCAGCAGUAGGGAAUCUUCCGCAAUGGACGAAAGUCUGACGGAGCAACGCCGCGUGAGUGAUGAAGGUUUUCGGAUCGUAAAACUCUGUUGUUAGGGAAGAACAAGUGCCGGAGUAACUGCCGGCGCCUUGACGGUACCUAACCAGAAAGCCACGGCUAACUACGUGCCAGCAGCCGCGGUAAUACGUAGGUGGCAAGCGUUGUCCGGAAUUAUUGGGCGUAAAGCGCGCGCAGGCGGUCUCUUAAGUCUGAUGUGAAAGCCCACGGCUCAACCCGUGGAGGGUCAUUGGAAACUGGGGGACUUUGAGUGCAAAAGAGGAAGGUGAAACUU
rnacentral:rRNA from 1 species